AGUAGUUCCACCAUUUCCUCGCUGGCUUUUUCUCCUUUUUAGCAAGAACAAUUGUUUAUGGCGUUCUAAUUAGAGUAGCAAUUUCUAUAGAUUUCAUUGCUUAGCUGCAAGUCUAAUUUAAGUUUUUCUCCUUGAGAUCUCUUUUUUUUUUUGAGAAAAUCUCAGUCUAUCUCCUUUAUUCAUAUUUUGAAACCAAACCUCUAAUUUAAGUUUUUUUGUGUAUUCAAUUUUAUAGUUCAUGGAGAUUUCUACAAACAUCGAAAGUGAGGAUACCAGGAGAUAUGGGAUCAAUGGAGAAUGUUCACUCCUCUGCUAGCGAUUCUUUAAUAUGGGGUUUCAGCAUAAUAAUUAAUAAGUAUCGUCAUGACCAAACUAAUCUUCCACGUUUAUAUGGUGGAGAUUGUCGACCAAGAGGAAGCUAGAAUUUUGCUUCAAUGGCAUGUAUUGUAUAAGGAAUAUGUGGAAGAGGAGGCCAAAUUAAAAGUUGGUGCAGCUGCGAACCAACAAGAAAAACAAACAAAGGUUCCUUACUUUAGUCCUAGAGACUAAGAAAAUGGCGUCCGCCGCAAGCAGUUUGUCUGCUAAGGAGAGGAGAGAGCAAGCAGCUGCAGCUAGAGGUACGACAUUGUCUAAUUCCGGGUCAUCGGAAAAAUCUCAGCUUGGUUCUAUGGGGAAAACUGGGCAAAUCUUUACGCCGCAUAUAGUUAAUAUAGCUUCUGGUGAGGUUAUGAUCCUAACCAAGACCGAUUACUUUCAUGAUCUGGCUCAGUCGAAGAUUUUCUCCUUCCCCUUCUUCAAACUCCGAUUAUUUGCAAGAAGAUUUAAAUUGAAGGAAUUUUCCGAUGCUGAAUCUUGCCAAAUAGAUUUAGUUCUUUAGCUUUUCUAUUAACAUGUAUAUUUUUUUCGUCCAGCUUAUGUUAUAUAUGUUGCUGUAAAGAAAAGAAGAACCUUGGGGGUGCAUUCUUGACUUUAUUUGUAAUACAACAUGCGAACAAAUAUUUGUAAG